UACGCAGGGUGCAAGCGUUAAUCGGAAUUACUGGGCGUAAAGCGUGCGCAGGCGGUUUUGUAAGUCUGAUGUGAAAGCCCCGGGCUCAACCUGGGAAUUGCAUUUGUGACUGCAUCGCUGGAGUGCGGCAGAGGGGGAUGGAAUUCCGCGUGUAGCAGUGAAAUGCGUAGAUAUGCGGAGGAACACCGAUGGCGAAGGCAAUCCCCUGGGCCUGCACUGACGCUCAUGCACGAAAGCGUGGGGAGCAAACAGGAUUAGAAACCCGUGUAGU
rnacentral:rRNA from 1 species